rnacentral:rRNA from 1 species
UGGGGAAUUUUGGACAAUGGGGGAAACCCUGAUCCAGCCAUCCCGCGUGUGCGAUGAAGGCCUUCGGGUUGUAAAGCACUUUUGGCAGGAAAGAAACGUCAUGGGUUAAUACCCCGUGAAACUGACGGUACCUGCAGAAUAAGCACCGGCUAACUACGUGCCAGCAGCCGCGGUAAUACGUAGGUUGCAAGCGUUAAUCGGAAUUACUGGGCGUAAAGCGUGCGCAGGCGGUUCGGAAAGAAAGAUGUGAAAUCCCAGAGCUCAACUUUGGAACUGCAUUUUUAACUACCGGGCUAGAGUGUGUCAGAGGGAGGUGGAAUUCCGCGUGUAGCAGUGAAAUGCGUAGAUAUGCGGAGGAACACCGAUGGCGAAGGCAGCCUCCUGGGAUAACACUGACGCUCAUGCACGAAAGCGUGGGGAGCAAACAGG